rfam:Ovis aries breed Texel chromosome 14, whole genome shotgun sequence.
CCCCUGGUGGUCCAGUGGUUAGGAGUCUGCACUCUGACUGCCAGGGUUCCAGGUUCAAUCCCUGGUCAGGGAA